UAAGAUAGAUCUUCUCCCGACCGCACUUUUUAUGACUCCAAUCCAUCCUCGGCUGCCAGCGACAUCGCCUUCUAAUUCUUCCUUUCUUUUCCUGCCGGUGAUUGAUUUCUUCAGGCUUUUCUUGCUGCGUCAGAUUGCAACUACCUGCGGGAUGGCAUGUAAAGUCUGCUGCCGUCUGCUCGCCGUGGAUGUCAGAUCGCUGCGCCUGGUCGUUGUCAGCAGCGGCUGAACAAGGAUAAGUGAAGUCCGUGACCAACCACUGAACUUUGUGGUGAAACUUUUCUAUUUCUUCCUUCAGUUUUUAGUUUCAGAUUUUGUAAUGUGUUCUGCAGGUGUGCAAACUCUAAUUGAUCUCAUUUCAGGUUUGGUUUGUACUGUAAGACGAUAUACACCUUCGAUCAGAACUGAAGAACGGCAGCCUGUACAUCUGCUGAAGCCUCUAAUUGACAUAUUGCUUUGAUAUUGGAAUAACCAACUAUGUUUCGAGUUUGUCGUCAACCCAAUGCUGAGGAUGUUACUUGGUUCAGCCACACUGCUAUGUCCAUAAUCGCAGAAUUCUUUAGGAGGUUUCCCGUUUCAGACAAUUUUCGUGGGAAAGCUAUCUAGCUGAGAAGAGAAGCCUUAAUGAACGUGGAUUUUUUUAUAUAAAAACUGAUGAAGCCGUUAGUCCUACUGCAUGGUGAUGUCCUGCCGACUCUAAUUAGGUCACAUAUAUCGCGUGGUAUAUGUGAUAAGCUAUCUCAAAACCAAUCAAAUAUAUGCAGGUCAGAGAUCACGUAUAUAAUUUUCUGUAGUUAAAGAUGUAUCUCGGCAAACUUCCUGCUGCAAAUUUCUUGUGCGUGUUGCGCAGAUUUGAGAGUACAGGGACCAAGAAACUAAGCAAUACCUACAUGAGUUAGAUUUCAUUGUUGUUGACGACGAGGUACUUCAUCCAUUAUUUUGACAGUUAAUCCACUUAGUUACCAUGAUUAAUGGACUUACAGUUAGCCCAUCUUAUCAUAUUAAUCUCUAUACAUAGCAGUUUAAGACAUGAGAACAAUAUAUACCUAUCUAUUCUCUGCCAAAUGUAUUUUUGUACACAUUUGCUACUUACCAGCUUUACAAGAUGUACUGUGUAUUUCACAUUAUUGAUGUGCCAUUCUUUUGUAAAUUCCCAAUUUUGAAUCCAAAUGACUCUUUUCGUCGCAUGUAUUAUCUACUUUCGCCUUCUUAGACUAAUAAGCCAUCUGUUUGACAUGGAGGAGCAGAUGAAUAAUUAUGUUGAUGUAGGAGAAUAUAAAGUAAAGAUUAGUGAAGUUUCAGGUUUCUUUCGAACUACUCUUUGGACAUCAUAUCGAUUAGUACAAGUGAUGCAUUUCACAAAAUUGAUCCAGUGCUUUUCCAUGGGAACAUACACCACCAGUUCAUCCUCACACAUCACACACAUGAACCCCAUGGGCCAACAUUCUGUAAGACUCCCUGCAAUUCUUAAGUUGUACAGUCAUUUCCAAAUAGAUAAAGCCAGUACCCCAAAACAGUAGCUACUAGCUGAUGGCAUGGUAACUCCAAUCCAGAUGGUCAGUAUCCUUGGAUACUAGGUUGCAGCUCACCAUCUGGCUUGGAUGGGUCAGUUUUGCAGAUGCAACAGGUUCAGAUUUUACCACCCUUUCAAGCAUCUUAGCGGAGGAGGGAUCGAAUUGGCUGGUCCUGCCUUGCGCCCUGCACAUAGGACCGGCCUCAUCUGUUGAGUUUCUCUCUGAUUUUUCUCGGUCGUCGUGCUCGCCAUGUUUUUUCUAUUCCCCGCUCUGCGUCCGGUCAAGUGGCCUGCUCUGUGGUUUCCGUGUUCACCAUACAUGUUCUAUUAUUAGGUACUGAUGGAUCAUUAGGUCAUGUUAUCAGUACUGCCAUCUCUUCUUCGGUCUUUAAUUACUUGCACUGCAAUAUUAGCUAACUGAAGGUGCCUCCAUUUAUAUUUUCUUUAUAGUAAGAGUCCAGUUCAUCUGAGGUACGACGUAAGUUACUCCUGAAUUGGUUCAUUCAUAUUUUAUAAUGUGUUUCACUGGUGCAGCUGGUUUCUGGAUGAACAUUUUCCAUUUAAAUGAGCGCACAUCAAUACCGGAUCAACUUUGAGUACAUUCAACCCAGCCUUGCACUAUUGUGUACGUGUAUCAUGCAGUGUCAUCCUAGACAAGGGGGGCAAAAUGAUUACGUGUAUCAGGCAAUGUCAUCCUAGACAAGAAGAGAAAAAUGUGUGAAAUGAGGAAUUUCCAAAUGUAUUUGAUUGUAAUAUUGAGUUUAGGUUCCAUGGUCUUCUUGACUUCCAAGUUAUUUCAUUGUCAUUAGUUGCUUCGUCCAGUUCAUUGUCACAUGGUAUCACAUGGUUCAGUUUAGCAACUUCUCUACAAAUCUAGCUUUUAACAGUUAUUCUUGCUCUGUAUGGGCAAAC